rnacentral:rRNA from 1 species
CCUACGGGCGGCAGCAGUGGGGAAUAUUGGACAAUGGGGGCAACCCUGAUCCAGCCAUGCCGCGUGUGUGAAGAAGGCCCUCGGGUUGUAAAGCACUUUCAGUGAGGAAGAACGCCUGGUGGUUAAUACCCAUCAGGAAAGACAUCACUCACAGAAGAAGCACCGGCUAACUCCGUGCCAGCAGCCGCGGUAAUACGGAGGGUGCGAGCGUUAAUCGGAAUUACUGGGCGUAAAGCGCGCGUAGGUGGCUUGAUAAGCCGGUUGUGAAAGCCCCGGGCUCAACCUGGGAACGGCAUCCGGAACUGUCAAGCUAGAGUGCAGGAGAGGAAGGUAGAAUUCCCGGUGUAGCGGUGAAAUGCGUAGAGAUCGGGAGGAAUACCAGUGGCGAAGGCGGCCUUCUGGACUGACACUGACACUGAGGUGCGAAAGCGUGUGUAGCAAACAGGAUUAGAUACCCCGGUAGUC